rnacentral:rRNA from 1 species
UACGAAGGGGGCUAGCGUUGCUCGGAAUUACUGGGCGUAAAGGGCGCGUAGGCGGAUGUUUAAGUCGGGGGUGAAAGCCCGGGGCUCAACCUCGGAAUUGCCUUCGACACUGGACAUCUUGAGUACGGGAGAGGUGAGUGGAACUCCGAGUGUAGAGGUGAAAUUCGUAGAUAUUCGGAAGAACACCAGUGGCGAAGGCGACUCACUGGCCCGUUACUGACGCUGAGGCGCGAAAGCGUGGGGAGCAAACAGG